GUUGUAAACCUCUUUUAGUAGGGAAGAAGCGAAAGUGACGGUACCUGCAGAAAAAGCACCGGCUAACUACGUGCCAGCAGCCGCGGUAAUACGUAGGGUGCAAGCGUUGUCCGGAAUUAUUGGGCGUAAAGAGCUCGUAGGCGGUUUGUCGCGUCUGCUGUGAAAUCCCGAGGCUCAACCUCGGGCUUGCAGUGGGUACGGGCAGACUAGAGUGCGGUAGGGGAGAUUGGAAUUCCUGGUGUAGCGGUGGAAUGCGCAGAUAUCAGGAGGAACACCGAUGGCGAAGGCAGAUCUCUGGGCCGUAACUGACGCUGAGGAGCGAAAGCAUGGGGAGCGAACAGGAUUAGAUACCCUGGUAGUCCAUGCCGUAAACGUUGGGCGCUAGAUGUAGGGACCUUUCCACGGUUUCUGUGUCGUAGCUAACGCAUUAAGCGCCCCGCCUGGGGAGUACGGCCGCAAGGCUAAAACUCAAAGGAAUUGACGGGGGCCCGCACAAGCGGCGGAGCAUGCGGAUUAAUUCGAUGCAACGCGAAGAACCUUACCAAGGCUUGACAUACACCGGAACGGCCAGAGAUGGUCGCCCCCU
rnacentral:rRNA from 1 species